rnacentral:rRNA from 1 species
GACGAACGCUGGCGGCGUGCUUAACACAUGCAAUUCGAACGGAAAGGCCUUGCUUUUGUGGGUGGCUCGAGUGGCGAAAGGGUGAGUAACACGUGAUUAACCUGCCCUUGACUUUGGGUUAACUUCAGGAACCUGGGGCUAAUACCGGAUAGGAGCUCCUGCUGCAUGGUGGGGGUUGGAAAGUUUCGGCGGUUGGGGAUGGACUCGCGGCUUAUCAGCUUGUUGGUGGGGUAGUGGCUUACCAAGGCUUUGACGGGUAGCCGGCCUGAGAGGGUGACCGGCCACAUUGGGACUGAGAUACGGCCCAGACUCCUACGGGAGGCAGCAGUGGGGAAUAUUGCACAAUGGGCGGAAGCCUGAUGCAGCAACGCCGCGUGCGGGAUGACGGCCUUCGGGUUGUAAACCGCUUUCGCCUGUGACGAAGCGUGAGUGACGGUAAUGGGUAAAGAAGCACCGGCUAACUACGUG